rnacentral:rRNA from 1 species
UGAGCAAUCUGCCCUUCUCUUUGGAAUAAGCGUUGGAAACGACGUCUAAUGCCGAAUACGACCUCCUUUCGCAUGAUCGGAGGUGGAAAGCUCCGGCGGAGAAGGAUGAGCUCGCGGCCUAUCAGCUAGUUGGUGUGGGUAAUGGCCCACCAAGGCGACGACGGGUAGCUGGUCUGAGAGGAUGGCCAGCCCACACGUGGGACUGAGACACCGGCCCAGACCUCGUACGGGGA